UGCAGCCGGCUGUCGAAAAAU
rnacentral:miRNA from 9 species